AGGAGCACCCCAUGAAGAAGUUGCUGACCAUCGUUGCCAUCGCCGCCGCCGUGGUGGCCGUGCCCAUGGCACUGGCCCAGAACGCCGGACAGGGCCAGCCCACGCCGCAGCAGGGCGAACAGGCCGACAGGGCGCAGGCCGAGGCGGACGCCAAGGCCAAGCGCCGCGCGGCCGCCACGGCCGAAAUGAAGGCCAGGGGCGAGCAGGCCCCGCAGAAGGAGGAAGAGGAAGAAGCGCGGAAGAAGCGAUAAGCGCUUCGCGCUGACGCUUCCCCACGGUUUGCGCGGCAA
rnacentral:sRNA from 1 species